AGCGGAGCGUGUGGUUUAAUUCGAUGCUACACGAAGAACCUUACCAGGGUUUGACAUGCAAGUGGUAGGAACCGAAAGGCGACCGACCUUCGGGGAGCUUGCACAGGUGCUGCAUGGCUGUCGUCAGCUCGUGUCGUGAGAUGUUCGGUUAAGUCCGCUAACGAGCGCAACCCUCGCUGUGUGUUACAAGUGUCACACGGGUACUGCCGGUCUUAAGCCGGAGGAAGGUGGGAUGACGUCAAGUCAGCAUGGCCUUUAUGUCCUGGGCUACACACACGCUACAAUGGCCAACACAAUAGGUUGCUAAGCCGCGAGGUGGAGCCAAUCCUCAAAGUUGGUCUCAGUUCAGAUUGCAGGCUGCAACCCGCCUGCAUGAAGAUGGAGUUGCUGGUAACCGCAGGUCAGCUAUACUGCGGUGAAUACGUUCCCGGGGCUU
rnacentral:rRNA from 1 species